AUAGCCUUUAUGAUUGCCGCAUUUAAGAACUGCGCUAAAUUCAGAAUAAGUAUAACUAAACGAAAAGCGGGCAGAGUCCGAACUUAAAAACCAAAUCACAAAUAAUACAUUCUUUGUAAUUUCAGAAAUGUUUGAAAAACUCUAUUCCCGGUUCAAUAAAUUGCCCCAUGCCAUCAGUGAUUACGUCACACCAAAACAUUCUGUUGUUUGAGUUAGGACGGUAUCAAGUCAAAACCAAUUUUGCAAAGAAUGUUAAUAGCUCCCCGUGUCCGCGCAAUCAACAGGAAGACCGCAUCAUAGACAUGUUGCAACGUGUUCAGACAAAUGCAGACAUGUUCUAAAACCACAGGUAGCCCAAGCUCUACAAUAGUCGCUUUUCGCUGAAAUUUGAUGACAAAUGUAAAAAAAUGAGCGAGUUCGAGUCUGACAAUAUUCUCAACGAUGUAUGAUAACUGAUCAAUCAUUUAAACAUCCAUGCUAUAACUAUCAUACAAAAAAUCUAGAAAUUGGAGUUGCUGUGGUUUACACGAAUCUUCGGCCAAAUCAUUACGAUAGGCUAAAACUCAAGUAAAUGACGGAAAACAAAAAUUGAGCUAAUAGAACAAAACGGAAAUCAAGAAAUUGGGCUUCCUGUUCCGACGAGCCUUCGAACAUAGGUGACAUGCGUGCUUUUAGGGAAUUGCUAUCAAGCGGUUGGAAGCGUGGAAGUGACUCCAAGUUAAGUUUGGUCAGCAGUUGAAUUGGAUUUGAGACAGAGG